rnacentral:lncRNA from 1 species
UUAGAAAGCACACGUUUUCCUCUUUCCACUCACUCCACGUUGCCUAAACCGCGGUUUCCUCUUCCCGGCGGCGCUGGGACUGAGGCAGCUGAGGCGCGCUCCGCUCCCGGGAACCUCGGGCCUUGGCGCGCCAUUUUCCGUCGCGCAGUUAGUUGCCGGGGAGUCCUGAGACCUUUUGAUCGGGUCCCUUUCGUCUCUAGGCCCCUCGGCGAUCUCCGAUCAGACUCACCCACCAGAGCACCGCCACAAAGGUCCGGGGAAGAAACCUCUCACCUCCCUGGAGUCUCAGCUCAGCGUUUGGGAAGGAACCGUUUAAAAACCCAGGAGCAGAAUAAUCUUGGGGAGAAGGGAAAAGCAGUUGUAACAUCCCCACGUGGCAAUAAAGAUGAAAACCUCGUGAAGUCCUGCUCGUCUCAUCAACAGGUGAUCGAAGGACAUUCACGAUCUUGGUGCAAAUGUGUUGGCGCUGUGGGACGAGCGUCGUUGGACAACUUUCAAACCACAGCGCCAGGGCAGCCAAGCAUCCUGACGACCGGAAGUGCCUGUGGGGAAGCUGGACUUGCACUUAGAUUGCACUUGGAGACCUCCAGCCUCCUCUAACCCAGGCCUCUUAAGGAAUGUGAAUCAAUAAGUGGCAUAAAUUAUUCACCUCAAGGAACAUUCUCAGAAAUGAAUGUCAGACUGGAGAAAUCGCCAGCAGGGUAUUCGCUCUUUUCAGUGUUUGACUCUCGGUUCACCUUCUGAAUGGCUGGGCCUGUCUAAGCUAUGAAACAUUCAGAUCUCAGAGAAGAAUGAUGACUCUAAGUUGUGCUGAGAUUUCAAGGCAACUCUGAGUUUCCUUUUCAGCCUCUUCCGCAGGGUCAGGGAAAGAGCGUGUGGGCACAGUGUCAUUGUGGGCAAUGCCAUAGGACCCCUCUGUGCCGUGAUCUCAGGGUCUGGAAAGGACCUGUCCUCUGUUCAAACAGGCCUUUUCUCCUUGCUGGCUGAGAUAUCAGAAAUUCAACCCCUCUCUUAAAACCAUUCUGAGGGCUUUGCCUCUUUGGAAGGCUCCUUUCAAACUGCAAAGCCUCAGGAGGGGAGGAGAGGAAAAUUAAAAUGUAUUGAACACCUUCUGGGAUUUUUUUCAUUGUCAUGCAUCCUCCCCCACAAAAUAGAUAUGCUUUGCAAACUUGCUUUGUUAGUUUUUUCUUUUAAAUUGUUGGAAGUUCCUUUCCAUACGCUGCAGGUGUGGCCCUAAGAAAACAUAACAAAUAAACAAACAAAAAAGACACA